UACAGAGGGUGCGAGCGUUAAUCGGAAUUACUGGGCGUAAAGCGUGCGUAGACGGUUAUUUAAGUCGGAUGUGAAAGCCCCGGGCUCAACCUGGGAAUUGCAUUCGAGACUGAAUAGCUAGGGUGCGGUAGAGGGAAGCGGAAUUUCCGGUGUAGCGGUGAAAUGCGUAGAUAUCGGAAGGAACAUCAGUGGCGAAAGCGGCUUCCUGGACCAGCACCGACGUCAGGCACGAAAGCCGUGG
rnacentral:rRNA from 1 species